UGCUGGAGGUAUCAGAAGUGCGAAUGCUGACAUAAGUAACGAUAAAGCGGGUGAAAAGCCCGCUCGCCGGAAGACCAAGGGUUCCUGUCCAACGUUAAUCGGGGCAGGGUGAGUCGACCCCUAAGGCGAGGCCGAAAGGCGUAGUCGAUGGGAAACAGGUUAAUAUUCCUGUACUUGGUGUUACUGCGAAGGGGGGACGGAGAAGGCUAUGUUGGCCGGGCGACGGUUGUCCCGGUUUAAGCGUGUAGGCUGGUUUUCCAGGCAAAUCCGGAAAAUCAAGGCUGAGGCGUGAUGACGAGGCACUACGGUGCUGAAGCAACAAAUGCCCUGCUUCCAGGAAAAGCCUCUAAGCAUCAGGUAACAUCAAAUCGUACCCCAAACCGACACAGGUGGUCAGGUAGAGAAUACCAAGGCGCUUGAGAGAACUCGGGUGAAGGAACUAGGCAAAAUGGUGCCGUAACUUCGGGAGAAGGCACGCUGAUACGUAGGUGAAGUCCCUCGCGGAUGGAGCUGAAAUCAGUCGAAGAUACCAGCUGGCUGCAACUGUUUAUUAAAAACACAGCACUGUGCAAACACGAAAGUGGACGUAUACGGUGUGACGCCUGCCCGGUGCCGGAAGGUUAAUUGAUGGGGUUAGCGGUAACGCGAAGCUCUUGAUCGAAGCCCCGGUAAACGGCGGCCGUAACUAUAACGGUCCUAAGGUAGCGAAAUUCCUUGUCGGGUAAGUUCCGACCUGCACGAAUGGCGUAAUGAUGGCCAGGCUGUCUCCACCCGAGACUCAGUGAAAUUGAACUCGCUGUGAAGAUGCAGUGUACCCGCGGCAAGACGGAAAGACCCCGUGAACCUUUACUAUAGCUUGACACUGAACAUUGAGCCUUGAUGUGUAGGAUAGGUGGGAGGCUUUGAAGUGUGGACGCCAGUCUGCAUGGAGCCGGCCUUGAAAUACCACCCUUUAAUGUUUGAUGUUCUAACGUUGGCCCCUGAUCGGGGUUGCGGACAGUGUCUGGUGGGUAGUUUGACUGGGGCGGUCUCCUCCUAAAGAGUAACGGAGGAGCACGAAGGUUGGCUAAUCCUGGUCGGACAUCAGGAGGUUAGUGCAAUGGCAUAAGCCAGCUUGACUGCGAGCGUGACGGCGCGAGCAGGUGCGAAAGCAGGUCAUAGUGAUCCGGUGGUUCUGAAUGGAAGGGCCAUCGCUCAACGGAUAAAAGGUACUCCGGGGAUAACAGGCUGAUACCGCCCAAGAGUUCAUAUCGACGGCGGUGUUUGGCACCUCGAUGUCGGCUCAUCACAUCCUGGGGCUGAAGUAGGUCCCAAGGGUAUGGCUGUUCGCCAUUUAAAGUGGUACGCGAGCUGGGUUUAGAACGUCGUGAGACAGUUCGGUCCCUAUCUGCCGUGGGCGCUGGAGAACUGAGGGGGGCUGCUCCUAGUACGAGAGGACCGGAGUGGACGCAUCACUGGUGUUCGGGUUGUCAUGCCAAUGGCACUGCCCGGUAGCUAAAUGCGGAAGAGAUAAGUGCUGAAAGCAUCUAAGCACGAAACUUGCCCCGAGAUGAGUUCUCCCUGACUCCUUGAGAGUCCUGAAGGAACGUUGAAGACGACGACGUUGAUAGGCCGGGUGUGUAAGCGCAGCGAUGCGUUGAGCUAACCGGUACUAAUGAACCGUGAGGCUUAACCUUACAACGCCGAAG
rnacentral:rRNA from 1 species